GAGGAAUAUUGGUCAAUGGGCGCGAGCCUGAACCAGCCAAGUAGCGUGCAGGAUGACGGCCCUAUGGGUUGUAAACUGCUUUUGUAUGGGGAUAAAGUCAAUCACGUGUGAUUGUUUGCAGGUACCAUACGAAUAAGGACCGGCUAAUUCCGUGCCAGCAGCCGCGGUAAUACGGAAGGUCCGGGCGUUAUCCGGAUUUAUUGGGUUUAAAGGGAGCGUAGGCCGGAGAUUAAGUGUGUUGUGAAAUGUAGACGCUCAACGUCUGAAUUGCAGCGCAUACUGGUUUCCUUGAGUACGCACAACGUUGGCGGAAUUCGUCGUGUAGCGGUGAAAUGCUUAGAUAUGACGAAGAACUCCGAUUGCGAAGGCAGCUGACGGGAGCGCAACUGACGCUGAAGCUCGAAGGUGCGGGUAUCGAACAGGAUUAGAUACCCUGGUAGUCCGCACAGUAAACGAUGGAUGCCCGCUGUUGGUACCUAGUAUCAGCGGCUAAGCGAAAGCAUUAAGCAUCCCACCUGGGGAGUACGCCGGCAACGGUG
rnacentral:rRNA from 1 species